UUGAACGCUGGCGGCAUGCCUUACACAUGCAAGUCGAACGGCAGCACGGGAGCAAUCCUGGUGGCGAGUGGCGAACGGGUGAGUAAUAUAUCGGAACGUGCCCAGUCGUGGGGGAUAACGUAGCGAAAGUUACGCUAAUACCGCAUACGAUCUAAGGAUGAAAGCGGGGGAUCGCAAGACCUCGCGCGAUUGGAGCGGCCGAUAUCAGAUUAGGUAGUUGGUGAGGUAAAGGCUCACCAAGCCAACGAUCUGUAGCUGGUCUGAGAGGACGACCAGCCACACUGGAACUGAGACACGGUCCAGACUCCUACGGGAGGCAGCAGUGGGGAAUUUUGGACAAUGGACGCAAGUCUGAUCCAGCCAUUCCGCGUGCAGGAUGAAGGCCCUCGGGUUGUAAACUGCUUUGUACGGAACGAAAAGGUUUGUCUUAAUACGAUGAGCUCAUGACGGUACCGUAAGAAUAAGCACCGGCUAACUACGUG
rnacentral:rRNA from 1 species